rnacentral:lncRNA from 1 species
AUCUACCUCUAGUAAAUCUUUCUCAUGUCUCUUUUACUCAUGUAUCUUGAAAAUUAUUUUUCCAUAAUAGGAGUCAGUGAACCUGCAAACUUAUUUUAAAAGGGUGGAUUAAAUUCCUUAUUUCAGCCUCAGAAAACCUCAGACCCAGCCUGAUGACAUUUAUCUUGGUGACCAUGAAGGGACUUAAAAGCAAUAUGGAGAUUGUGGAAAUCUUGACUUUGGUUUGUGUUCCUAGGCCUUCAAAGAAAGAAAACUGAAAAAACAUCUUAUCACACUUGUGAGUUCCAACUAAAGUGGUUUAUGGUGAUAAACUUUUUUAGGCUUAAGCAUCUGGUUUUCCCUUACUUGUGUUCCAGCUAUUUGUGAUGAAAUGUGCAUGCCAAACCAGUGUUGGUCAGCCAGCCAAAUGAUAUAAAUACUUUUCAAGGAUUAUGCUU